rnacentral:rRNA from 1 species
CUGAAUAUCUAGCUUGACCUCUAUUAUAAUUAUGAUAUUAAAUAAAACAUUUUUAUUUUAUAGUAAGGGAGACUAAAAAAUUUUUAAACGCUUUAGAUUAAGUACCGCAAGGGAAUGAUGAAAUAGUAAUGAAAUAAUAAUUAAGUUAGAUAUAGCAAAGUUUAUACUUGUACCUUUUGCAUCAUGGUUAAGCUAGUUUAAUCAAGCAAAAAUAACCUUCAGUUUGACUUCCCGAAACUGGGUGAGCUACUUCGAAACAAUCGUCAGGAUUAACCCGUCCCUGUUGCAAAAGGGUGGGAAGAUUUCUUAGUAGCAGUGAAAAGCUAAUCGGACCCAGAGAUAGCUGGUUAUUCGAGAAAAGAAUAUAAGUUCUGCCUUAAGUCUACUUAUUAUAUUAAACAAAGUAAUAGUCUUAAGAGUUAUUCAAAUAAGGUACAGCUUAUUUGACUAAGGACACAACCUCAACUAAAGGGUAAUACCAUAAGUAUUCAUAAGUGGGCUUAAGAGCAGCCUAAACCGCGUCAAAGCCUUCCGCUAUUUAAAUAGUAAAUACCACACAUUUUUAUUAACCCUUCACCACUACUGAAUAACCCCAUAAUAUUAUGGGAGAUACUAUGCUCAAACUAGUAACAAGAAUAUGAAAUUCUCCUAAAUGUAAGUAUAAGCCUUAAUUGACAAACUAAAGGCAAUUAACGUUAAUGAAUCUAAUACAACAACCGCCAAGAAAAGCUUGUAGAACUUAACGUUACCCUUACACAAGUACACUCUAGGAAAGAUUAAAAGAAGGAGAAGGAACUCGGCAAACAUCAACCCCGCCUGUUUACCAAAAACAUCGCCUCUUGCUUCAAAAUAAGAGGUCCAGCCUGCCCAGUGAUUAUUAAACGGCCGCGGUAUCCUAACCGUGCUAAGGUAGCACAAUUACUUGUCCUUUAAAUGUGGACCAGAAUGAAUGACAUCACGAGGGUUGUACUGUCUCCUCCAUCCAAUCAGUGAAACUGACCUCCCCGUGAAAAGGCGGGAAUCAAAAUACUAGACGAGAAGACCCCAUGGAGCUUUAGACAAUGGACAAUUUUAGAUAUUACUUCCUUAAGUUUAAGAUUUAUUCUCUUAAGUCUUCGGCUGGGGCGACCAUGGAAAAAAAAAUAACUUCCACGCCGAAAGGAACUUUCCUAAUCCUAGAGUCACAGCUCUAAGAAUCAGAAUACUGAUGCUCACUGAUCCGGAACCCGAUCAACGAAACAAGUUACCCUGGGGAUAACAGCGCUAUCCGCCUUGAGAGUUCAUAUCGACAGGCGGGUUUACGACCUCGAUGUUGGAUCAGGGUAUCCUGGUGGUGCAGCCGCUACAUAAG